CUACGUGCCAGCAGCCGCGGUAAUACGGAAGGUCCAGGCGUUAUCCGGAUUUAUUGGGUUUAAAGGGAGCGUAGGCGGAUUGUUAAGUCAGCGGUUAAAGGGUGUGGCUCAACCAUACAUUGCCGUUGAAACUGGCGAUCUUGAGUGCAGACAGGGAUGCCGGAAUUCGUGGUGUAGCGGUGAAAUGCUUAGAUAUCACGAAGAACUCCGAUCGCGAAGGCAGGUGUCCGGGCUGCAACUGACGCUGAGGCUCGAAAGUGUGGGUAUCAAACAGGAUUAGAUACCCUGGUAGUCCACACAGUAAACGAUGUAUACUCGCGGUUUGCGAUAGACAGUAAGCCGCCAAGCGAAAGCAUUAAGUAUACCACCUGGGGAGUACGCCGGCAACGGUGAAACUCAAAGGAAUUGACGGGGGCCCGCACAAGCGGAGGAACAUGUGGUUUAAUUCGAUGAUACGCGAGGAACCUUACCCGGGCU
rnacentral:rRNA from 1 species